AGUAACACGUGGGUAACCCACCGCGAUGAUUGGGACNACCCGGGGAAACUCGGGCUAAUACCAAAUGUGCCCGCAGACCAUGAGGUCCGCUAGUAAAGAUAGCUUCGGCCUUCGCAUCUGGACGGGYCCGCGGCCCAUUAGCUUGUUGGUGAGGUAACGGCUCACCAAGGCGACGAUGGGUAGCUGGUCUGAGAGGACGAUCAGCCACACUGGGACUGAGACACGGCCCAGACUCCUACGGKAGGCAGCAGUGGGGAAUCUUGCGCAAUGCGCGAAAGCGUGACGCAGCAACGCCGCGUGGAGGAAGACGGUCUUCGGAUUGUAAACUCCUUUCAGUUGGGACGAAGCUCAACGGGUUAAUAGCUCGGUGGAGUGACGGUACCUUCAGAAGAAGCCCCGGCUAACUACGUGCCAGCAGCCGCGGUAAUACGUAGGGGGCUAGCGUUGUCCGGAAUCAUUGGGCGUAAAGAGCGUGUAGGCGGUCCGGUAAGUCCGCUGUGAAAGUCGGGGGCUCAACCCUCGAAUGCCGGUGGAUACUGUCGGGCUAGAGUACGGAAGAGGCGAGUGGAAUUCCUGGUGUAGCGGUGAAAUGCGCAGAUAUCAGGAGGAACACCUAUUGCGAAGGCAGCUCGCUGGGACGUAACUGACGCUGAGACGCGAAAGCGUGGGGAGCAAACAGGAUUAGAUACCCUGGUAGUCCACGCUGUAAACGAUGGGCACUAGGUGUGGGGGGUGUCGACUCCCUCCGUGCCGAAGCUAACGCAUUAAGUGCCCCGCCUGGGGAGUACGGCCGCAAGGCUAAAACUUAAAGGAAUUGACGG
rnacentral:rRNA from 1 species